CUUAACCGCCGAGCCUAGACUCACUCCAGCCCAAACCGCGCUCUGCCUAGCAUUGGGGGUGACAGAGGUCCUUCCCACCGUGGAUAAGAGGGCAAGGGGAGCAGUUGACGGACUCCUGGGGCCUCCCCUUCCCUCGGCCCCUGCCUACCUAGCCCAGCCCAGAGUUGGGCCUCCUCGCCUCUCCGUAUUCCGCUUCCUCCCCGGGUUGGGAGCCAAAGAAAGGUUGGCAGCCGGUCCGUUGGCUCUCUUUUGCCCCCUCGUGGAUCUGGUUUGAACCGAGACAUCAGCUCUUCUUGGGUCUGGAUCCUGCCAGCCUUUGGAUGGGAACCACACCAGCACAAUCCUGGUUAUCAGGCCUUUGGAUUUGGACUAGAACAAAACCACUGGCUCUCUUGGAUCUCCAGCUUGCUGACUCACCCUGUAGUACUUGGGACUUGCUUUCUUCCAUAAUCACAUGAGCCAAUUCCUUAUAAGUAAUCAAUCAAUCAAUCCUAUUGGUUCUAUUUCCAUGGAGAACCCUAAUACAGAAUAAUAUUGUCAUAAUUGGUUCGAAGUGCUAUACUACAGAAGUAUGAGUCAUUUGUAUAAUUCUAAGUCUUCUUGUAGCCGCAUUAAAAACAUAAAGAGAUGAAA